UGUCAUGUCACACCCGCCUGUCUUUCUGGUUGGUUUAGGUGUAGUGUCAUGUCUCAGCCGCCUGUCUCUCUGAUUGGUUUAGGUGUAGUGUCAUGUCUCACCCGCCUGUCUCUCUGAUUGGUUUAGGUGUAGUGUCAUGUCUCAGCCGCCUGUCUCUCUGAUUGGUUUAGGUGUAGUGUCAUGUCUCACCCGCCUGUCUCUCUGAUUGGUUUAGGUGUAGUGUCAUGUCUCACCCGCCUGUCUCUCUGAUUGGUUUAGGUGUAGUGUCAUGUCUCACCUGCCUGUCUCUCUGAUUGGUUUAGGUGUAGUGUCAUGUCUCAGCUGCCUGUCUCUCUGAUUGGUUUAGGUGUAGCGUCAUGUCUCACCCGCCUGUCUCUCUGAUUGGUUUAGGUUUAGUGUCAUGUCACACCCGCCUGUCUAUCUGGUCGGUUUAGGUUUAGUGUCAUGUCUCAGCUGCCUGUCUCUCUGAUUGGUUUAGGUGUAGUGUCAUGUCUCAGCUGCCUGUCUCUCUGAUUGGUUUAGGUGUAGUGUCAUGUCUCAGCUGCCUGUCUCUCUGAUUGGUUUAGGUGUAGUGUCAUGUCUCAGCUGCCUGUCUCUCUGAUUGGUUUAGGUGUAGUGUCAUGUCUCAGCCGCCUGUCUCUCUGAUUGGUUUAGUUGUAGUGGGGUGGAGCACUUCAUCCUGCAGGUGAUUGACAAGUUGCCAGACGUGGAGAUGGUGGUGAAUGUGCGGGAAUACCCUCAGGUACCAGGCUGGGUGCAGCCUAUCCUGCCUGUCCAGUCUUUCAGUAAGGUCAGCUCUGCGACCAUGCAUGUCCUCAUCACACACACACACAACAGUGUUGCUUGUUUAUGUUAUUUAGAAAUAUGUUUUUACUUUUGUAAAUUAGAUAUAUUUGUUGGAAGUAGUAAAAGAGUUGUUGUCCAAUGUGAUGGCAUUUGUUAGUGUAAAAUGAAAGUGUGUUGUGUGCAUUUAGACUGUUGACUACAAGGACAUCAUGUAUCCAUCGUUCUAUAUCCCACUGGACUAGGACGAUGGGACCUCAUAAAGUAGGUUUGACCUACUUGUGUUACAAGGAAACAUUUGUAUUUUAUACUACCAGAUCAUUUUCUCUGUUAUUCACAAACACUCUGCACAGUGGCCCUGGAAGAGGAAGGAGUCCAGAGGAUACUUCAGAGGCUCCAGGACUAGUCCUGAGAAGGACCCCCUGGUCCUUCUGUCCAGAGAGGCUCCAGACCUGGUGGAUGCUGAGUACACCAAGAACCAGGCCUGGAAGUCUGAGAAGGACACACUAGGUAGACCACCAGCUCAGGAGAUUCCCCUGGUGGAGCACUGUCAAUACAACCCCUCAGGUACCUGUUCAACUUCCGGGGCGUGGCGGCCAGCUUCCGCCUCAAGCACCUGUUCCUGUGUGGCUCUCUGGUUUUCCAUCCUGGAGUUCUUCUAUCCCCAGCUGCUGCCCCGGGUACACUACAUCCCUGUCAAACAGGACCUCUCUGACCUCAGGGAACUGCUACAGUUUGAAUGAAAACGAUGAAAUAGCUCAAGAGAUUCCCGUUAGGGGUCAACGGUUCAUCCUGGAACACCUGAGGAUGGAGGACGUGUCGUGUUACUGCGAGAGACUCCUCACUGAGUUUGGUGGGCUGCUCAAGUAUAAACUCCAGAGGAGGACUAACUACAAUCAGGUCAUCCACAAGCAUGGGAGGACAGAACUGUGACCGAGCAAGAGGGGGGGAGGGGUCACUCUGUAUGGACUAUAUGGAGAUCCAGUCAAUAGAUAGCGGCAGAUUGAUAUUUGUUCACACUGCUUAUUAAUGUCCCUAAUGCUGGUCUUAGAAUGAGGAAUUGCUGGUCUUCACAUUUAGGCUGUGGUCUCCCCAUAGAUUCUCCAUAGGGUUAGAUGUAAUGGAGUACCUUUUUUAAAGUAUUGUGUUAUAGACGAUUUAGGAGUUGGAAAAACGCUGUAAAAAGAAAGCGGCUCUUUGGGAUUGAAAUUACCAUUGGGAUUAGCACACAGAAAGAGUCGGAUACUGUAUAUGUUGGUUCUAUCGCAAAGUUUACAGUUUGUAUUUAGCAGACCUGGGUUCAAAUACUGUUUAUGGUAUUAUAAUUACUUUCAAAUAUAUUUUUCUUUGAAAAGACAAGUAGUUGAAUAUUGGAAUGUAUUUGGAAAUACACUUGAAAAGUAUUUGAAAAUACUCAAAUACACUCCCAUGCAUUUAGCCCAGGUAUUAGAUUUUUGUUGUUGUUGUUGAAAUUAGUAUAUGAAAGGGGGAUACCUAUUCACUUAUACAACUGAAAUGUGUCUUCUGCAUUUAACCCAACCCCUCUGAAAAUACAGUACUUUCAAAUAGUAAGUACUUUCAAAUAAUCCCAAUAGAAGUAGUUGAUUCGGGCCACAUUAUUUGAAAAUACUUAUUUUCUCUGUAUUUAAGUAUUUAAAUAACAAAUGAUCAAAUACACAUGUAUUUUAACCCAGGCCUGGUAUUUAGUCUUUCCAUGCUCAAAAUAUCAGUGACUUUACGCCUCGAAAGGAACUUAGAGUAGAGGAUUUAGGAAGAGCUUGAUAGCGUUUGCCAUCAACUGAUUUCUGCUAUCUCACCCCACACUGAAAUUGUGUGAAAAAUCAAUGAAAUUUGUUGUUUCUGGGAAAUUACACCUAAAAGGCCAUUUUCCAUCUGCUUUCCCGUACUGCCCUCUAGUGGGUGACCGAAGCCCUGUAUGCUGCUCAGGAGUUGAUACUUACGUCUUCCAUUUUAUUGCCCGUGGUCCAUUCAACUACAAACGCAACCAAAACACUCCUCACCUCAGAGUGUUGCCUCUGUUUAAGAAGAACAAUGCACUACCAUUGCCAUAUACUGAUAUGAUGUAGCUUGAAACAUUACAUAUUAAGCAGUAAAUAACUACACUCAGUGCCAAUAAAAUGUUAUUCAUUAAUGUAGAAUGCCAUGUUGUCAAACACACUGUCAUUAUACUACUUUACUUGGACCUGCCUUGGAGAAGAUGAGUAUAAGCCAUAAUGGCACUGAAAUGUUGAAUAUGUUCUAGUAUUCCCAUUGUAGAAUGUAUGUGUUCUCUGAUUCUACAGCUGUGGCACACACGUAUGUAAGAUACUUUGUGCUGUGUAUUGUCUUGAGUAAGAGGUACAAUGCCAAAAGACUAAGCUCAGCUUGUGGUCAAAACAUAUGACGUGAUCUUCAUGGUUAGUCAGAGUAUUGUAUGCACAGAGAUGGUAAUAUCAUGGGCAGGUUGAUUCACCUGUGAAGUCAGUGGAAUAGUUUUGGUUUGUCUGUUGGCCUUUAAUUAAUAGUAAUUGAUGCUAUUUUUGGCAUGAAACACAAUGACAAUGUUGUGAUAUGAUGCAAUAACAUUUUAUAUCGAAUGUAUCAUUUUCACCUCUAAUA